UCAGGCCCCGCCCCCGGAGAUGCUGAAUCAGAGGCUGGGUGGAGGCCAGGAAGAGCCCGGGCCAGCAAGGCCCCCAGACAUAAAGCAACAUUUCCCCAAAGGACUGACAACUAUUCUAACUGUUCCAGAGGAUUCCCACGGGGAUCUUUUGUUACCCCCCCCCCCCGUGGUUAUUAUACUUCCAGUUGGUGUGUUAUCCGUGGUAAGUUAUUUCUCCGACGGUGAAGUGAGUCAAUUUAAGCCAGGUUAGAUGAUAUUAAAUGCAGGUUUAUCGGGAAGCUUCCCUUGGGCAGGCGAGUUCACUGGCCUUAAGGGCCAGGGAAGUCAACAUGGGGAGAGAGAAGGGGAGUGGGAAGAGAAAGAUACAAAAAGGGCACUAGCCUGGGGGUGGGGGGUGGAAGGGAGAGAGACAGAGAGUCACACAGAGAGAAACAGAGACAUAUCAAGUGUGCAAAAUAUCUGGAUUAUAUAAGGAAGAGCCUUUGGGGGAAGGGCAGGCCAGCUCCUGGGCUGGAAAGUGCAGGGUUGGGGGCAGGGUAUGCCAGGUAGGGGCUGAGGAGAACCAGGAGGCCGGGUCUUCUCUGAUGUGUAAAAUAUGCACCUCAGUCCCGUGUCCUGGGGUCCAAAACCAAACAGCAGCAUGCAAAGGCUUGUGAAGUGAUGGGUUUAGAACUUUCUGAAUAUCUGACCAUGUUAGGUAUCUGAGAAAAGUGCUCUUUGUGCAGAGACUGAGAAAGCAAAAGAAAUUGAAUUAAGUAGGCUCUGGUAUGUGUAAUCGGAUUAUGCCUGACUUCACUGGGAAUCACAGUUGUGGUGGUCUGCAGUUCCCGGCUGAUGAUCUGGCUCCCCGGACUAUACACAGAUGGGAAAACCAACCAGUAUACCUCAGGAUGUCCCAGUUGUCCUAAUGAUUCAGCUGGAGAACUCUCAGAGAGCACUGGGCUGCAUGCAUUACCUCUACAUGAGGGCUGAGGUUUGUGGAGCUUGUGUGCAGCUCGGACCGUCAUAGCACAAAUUUCAGUUUGUUGUGUGCCCAGCCAAGAUACUUACUUCAAAGGGCAUUUAGUGAACUGUCUGUUCUGCUGAUCACGUGCCACGUCCCUCCAGCCCUCUGUUGGAUCUUCAUGCUCUGACUUUUUGUUUCCUUCCAAGAUUUCUUCACACAAACAAAAAAGUGUUAGUGUGUUUCCCCUCCUUGUCCCAUGCCCAGAACGUCAGGAUUUGCCUUCUUGUUCUUUUUCCUCUCUCUAUAGAAGCAAGGCAUCGUCUUCACUGCUCUAUAUGCCUUUGGUUGGUUUCUAAAAAUGAACUACUUGUAAGCCAUGCAUGUGAAUUACAGAUCAGUGUCAGAGUAGGCGUUUGAAUGGAGAAAAAUAAGAUAAAAUUCAGAUAGACUAUUAAAUUCUUGAUUACAUCUUUAGAAUUUGUUAAUGUUUUAGGUAUAUUGUAAACAUGAGCUUUAUAAGAGAUGAUUGAGUCUUUUUUGCAUUAAGGAAGGAAUUGUGUGUGAGUGUGUGUGUGACUUUGUUGGCAGAGUGCUGGCCCAGCAUAGCUUCUGUGUGGAUAUCCCAAUGCUGAGUGUGAAUUCCUCAUGUAGGGUGGGAUAGUAGUGCUCUAGGAAUACAUUUGACUUGGUUGUGGGCUGUUUCACUCUGACGUAGUGGCCUAUACUUUGGAACAUGAGUUUGAUAACUCAUGAGGUCUGCCCGGUCUAUUUAAUUUUGCCUGUUGCUGUUAAUUGCUGGACUGUAGUGUCUUAGGUGGUGCCGUAACGGUGAGCAGCUAGAGGCAUCUGAAGGAAGCAAGUGUGGUCAGUUGGCAUUAUUAUUUUUCUUUAGUUGUGAACCCUGAAAUCAACCCCAGGAUCAAAAGUGUGUGAUGAUUUUGUAUGAAAGUGGCCAUUUAAGACAUGAGCAUGGAGUGUGGACUCAGAAGUAACCUUGGCUUAUGUGGCCUACUCUGUGUAGUUAAAUAGUUCUUUUGACCACGGAAUUGCACUCAUAGUACAGUGCCUGGGAGGGGAUGCACUGGAAAACCAUCAGUAGACACGUUGCUAAGACUUAGAAUCUAUCUUCUGGCAAGCCAACCACAUUGGAUAUGUAGGAUCCCUUACUGAGAACAGUACUGCGUCUUACGGCAGAUCCCUGGUGGAGACGGUUCCUUCCUUAAGGGUCUUAGCAGAGAAAUAUGUCUGUCAGACUAACAGGUAAUGAUGUCAAUCCUUCUUUCUGUUUUUCCUUACAAAGGAGAUUAAAUUAAGCUGGGGUAUCACUGAGUAGGAGGGUGCUUGCCAAACUUGUAUAAGGCACUGGGGCAAACCCAAACCAAACAACAA